AACCAUCAAGAUAAGACUAGAGAAGAAGGCUCAAAGCUCUCCAAUGCUCUCUCAAAAUUUGAGUAUAGUUUCUCUAAUUAAAAUUCAAAUCUGAAUUGUACAAGCUAAGCACCUUUAUUUAUAGCCUAGAGGUGCUGAAAAAUAGGUGGGAAAAUUCAAAUAAACUCAUUUGAAAUUCCCACAAAAAACAAGUCACAUGGGAGGUGUGACCUUUUUCUACUAUGACACCUCCUAAAAACUACACCUACACCACUCUCCUAAGUCACAUGGACAAUGUGACUUUAUUUUACAUUUUCACACUCCUUUAUUUAAUAACCACACCUCCUAAAACUAUACAAGAGUAUUUCAAAGCUUGGCCUUGCCCCUCAUGGGAUGGACUUGGG
rnacentral:lncRNA from 1 species